CUCGGUGCUUUUGGCGGAGUGGGUACACCUGUUCCCAUCUCGAACACAGAAGUUAAGCACUCUAGCGCUGAUGGUAGCCGCAAGGCAAGAGUAAGACGGUGCCGAGU
rnacentral:rRNA from 1 species